CCCUUAGAUGUUCUGGGCCGCACACGCGCUACACUGAAGGAGGCAGCGUGUACUCCUGGAUCGAAAGAUUUGGGUAACCCGCGAAUCUCCUUCGUGCUAGGGAUUGAGGUUUGCAAUUAUCCUUCAUGAACGAGGAAUUCCCAGUAAGUGCAAGUCAUAAGCUUGCGCUGACUACGUCCCUGCCCUUUGUACACACCGCCCGUCGCUACUACCGAUUGAAUGAUUUAGUGAGGACUUCGGACUGGGACCGAUGCGGCUUUCGGGCUGCGUCGGUAUUCUGGAAAGAUGUCCAAACUGUAUCAUUUAGAGGAGGUAAAANUCGUANCA
rnacentral:rRNA from 1 species